rnacentral:rRNA from 1 species
GGUGAACGGCGGCCGUAACGAUAACGGUCCUAAGGUAGCGAAAUUCCUUGUCGGGUAAGUUCCGACCCGCACGAAAGGUGUAACGACUUGGGCACUGUCUCAACGAGAGACUCGGUGAAAUCAUAGUACCUGUGAAGAUGCAGGUUACCCGCGACAGGACGGAAAGACCCCGUGGAGCUUUACUGUAGCCUGAUAUUGAAAUUCGGCACAGCUUGUACAGGAUAGGUAGGAGCCUUUGAAACGUGAGCGCUAGCUUACGUGGAGGCGUUGGUGGGAUACUACCCUAGCUGUGUUGGCUUUCUAACCCGCACCACUUAUCGUGGUGGGAGACAGUGUCAGGCGGGCAGUUUGACUGGGGCGGUCGCCUCCCAAAGCGUAACGGAGGCGCCCAAAGGUUCCCUCAGAAUGGUUGGAAAUCAUUCGAAGAGUGUAAAGGCAGAAGGGAGCUUGACUGCGAGACCUACAAGUCGAGCAGGGACGAAAGUCGGGCUUAGUGAUCCGGUGGUUCCG